rnacentral:rRNA from 1 species
GAUGAACGCUAGCGGGAGGCCUAACACAUGCAAGCCGAGCGGUAUUGUUUCUUCGGAAAUGAGAGAGCGGCGUACGGGUGCGGAACACGUGUGCAACCUGCCUUUAUCUGGGGGAUAGCCUUUCGAAAGGAAGAUUAAUACUCCAUAACAUAUUGAUUGGCAUCAAUUAAUAUUGAAAGCUCCGGCGGAUAGAGAUGGGCACGCGCAAGAUUAGCUAGUUGGUGAGGUAACGGCUCACCAAGGCGAUGAUCUUUAGGGGGCCUGCGAGGGUGGUCCCCCACACUGGCACUGAGACACGGACCAGACUCCUACGGGAGGCAGCAGUGAGGAAUAUUGGUCAAUGGUUGCAAGCCUGAACCAGCCAUCCCGCGUGAAGGACGACUGCCCUAUGGGUUGUAAACUUCUUUUGUAUAGGGAUAAACCUACCCUCGUGAGGGUAGCUGAAGGUACUAUACGAAUAAGCACCGGCUAACUCCGUGCCAGCAGCCGCCGCCGUAACAC